rnacentral:rRNA from 1 species
AGUGAACGCUGGCGGUAGGCCUAACACAUGCAAGUCGAACGGCAGCACAGUAAGAGCUUGCUCUUACGGGUGGCGAGUGGCGGACGGGUGAGGAAUACAUCAGAAUCUACUUUUUCGUGGGGGAUAACGUAGGGAAACUUACGCUAAUACCGCAUACGACCUACGGGUGAAAGCAGGGGAUCUUCGGACCUUGCGCGAUUGAAUGAGCCGAUGUCGGAUUAGCUAGUUGGCGGGGUAAAGGCCCACCAAGGCGACGAUCCGUAGCUGGUCUGAGAGGAUGAUCAGCCACACUGGAACUGAGACACGGUCCAGACUCCUACGGGAGGCAGCAGUGGGGAAUAUUGGACAAUGGGCGCAAGCCUGAUCCAGCCAUACCGCGUGGGUGAAGAAGGCCUUCGGGUUGUAAAGCCCUUUUGUUGGGAAAGAAAAGCAGCAGGUUAAUACCCCGCUGUUCGGACGGUACCCAAAGAAUAGCACCGGCUAACUUCGUG